ACCUCCCCCAGAGCAACGACCUCCUGUGGGACGACUACGAGGCCAAACUGUCGGACCAAGCCCUGCGGCUGAUGGAGAAUUACCUGGCGCAGUUCGGGGACUUCAAGGAGCGAAUCGCCAAGAGGGGCCGUAAAUUGGUGGACUACGACAGCGCCCGGCACCACCUGGAAGCGCUGCAGGGAGCCAGGAAAAGGGACGAGGCCAAAAUCGCCAAGGCCGAGGAGGAGUUUAACAAAGCCCAGGCGGUGUUUGAGGAUCUGAACAGGGAGCUGAGGGAGGAGC